UUUUGUUCAGGAAUGGGUUUGAUUUUUCGCUAGGAGCAUUUUCUAUGAGUAGGUGGUCAGGUAGGGGAUUUCCUUCCUUCCCCAUUAAUGCUGUUCUGGGAGCAAAACCCCCUGCAUACCAGUAAGGGAGGAAAUAAGUGGGAGUGAUGGGCUAGGUUAUACACCUGGUGUCCUGUGGUGACAAUAUGAUCCUUGGUGAUGUGACUGUGGUCCCAACAAACUGCAGGUCAGAAAGAGUUUAUUUCAACAGCAAAUGAGUUUGGUAGACUGAAAACCAGAGUUAAAGGCUAACAUGGGAAAGAGACAUGAACUGUGGAAGAGUGAAAGCAGUUUGGAAGAUCUUCUAUAUCAUAGCAUUAACACAGGCAAUGUGAGGGAGACACUAUUUAAAAAAACAAAGAUUUGGCAACCUAUGGUUUUUACUCUUAGUACAGAGGGGACUUAAUUCAACUAAUAUUAGGCAGAAAGGCCUUUGUUGAGGGAAAGGAGACAGGGAAGCUGGGGUUGGAUGAGCAGCAAGAUGUUGCAAGGCGAGGCACAAACGCCAGAGGGUACUCAUGUGAGUGAACCCUGGCCACAGGAUAAGUGCUUGAAUUGCUUCUGAUUAAAGUUUGCAGUUGUGCUCACAAUGAAUAUGGUCUAUGUGGGGGGGACUCCUCUAGCAGGAUGUGGGAGAGUCUCAAAUUUCAGUAUCAUGAUUCAUUUCCCCAGUGAGUUGACCAAAGGAGGGAGUAUGGUGGGAAGCCGCCAUGAAAAAUACUCCAAGAAAUGGCAGGGAACAAAAAAACCACCAUCAGAAUUUCAGAAAUCCUGACCUAGCUCUUCUGGCUGACGUAAAAUCUCCCCGAGUUCACUCCUGCAAAUGUGGAUUUCACUGUUUCCAGGGAAAUAUUUGGCACUUUUUCAAAUUUCAGUAGAUUUUGGGACACUGGUCUCACACAGUGCUUGCUGCUUGAGUAGCUGGCUGAGAUGGGAGAUGUUUUGGCAAGGGUGGAUGAGACUGACAAUCUUGGUUCAGAGCAGGAGCUGCAAGAUGCAAGUUGCACCAGCCUAACAAGUUUGACACAAGCUCUUCAGGUUGCAUAUGUAUAAUGUCUGCAUCUUAAGAUGAAGCAGAAUUCAGUUAUGAGGAAAAUAAAAAGUAUGGGUCACAAACCAUUGGUGGAAAAAGAUAUGCAAGGUUCUCUGGUGGCAUUCUGUUAUUAUUACCUACCUUUCAGCCUUCAAUCCCUUGCCACCUUCUCCCUUUGCUGAAGCACAGUGACCUGUGGUGGCAUGGGUGCUGCAUGUGCACUGAGGCAACAACUAACUACAUGUCCCCUGGAGAGCACCUUGGGCUGGUUCUAUGUUGUGGAAGGCAGUACUGUGUUCUAUAUGCUCAUGCUGCUUUUGUUCUCUAGGACAAAAAAGCACUUCUUCUGGAAAGUUAACAGGGCAGAACUGGUAGGAGAUUCUUUCCCAGUCAUCACAAGAUCUGAUUCUUUUUUUUUCUAAUUUUUAUUUUUUUGUGUCAAAUCUGAUCUGUUUGGUUUAAUAGAGCCAUUGAUUUAUGGCUACAGGGGUGAAAUAAAAAAUAGGAUCUUGUUGAUUAAGAGGAGUUGAGUGGACUUCUGAAUAAAUGAGAAAGGGAAAUUAGAGAAGUAAAAACAGGCACUGUAUCUUUGAGCACUAUACUAAGUAAAAGUUCAUUUUGCUUUUGUGCGUUCAUUUGCUCUGAGCCUAUAUCUGGAAAUUUUUAAUGGCAUUCUCCUACGAGUUACUAGACAGUGAGAGCAUCUUGAACUUUCAAAAUAUAGCUGCAGUUAACUCUGUGAAAUGCUUAGGAACCAGCAGCUGCUUACUGUGUUGUGGUAUCUGAGAAAGCAACAUCUGACUUUUCUGUUCCUUCCCAGCCCUCCCAGUCUAAAACCACUGCACAUCACAUCAGGUGGCUUUCAAAAUGAUGAGCUUGCCACUAGAUCCUCUUGUCAUUGCCCUGUUCACUGCAACUUCUGAGAACCAUUUUUUAAAUAGGUAUAUAAAGGCUGGAGAUGCCAGAGUAUGUAAACACAGGUGAAUCUAGCUGUUAAUAGGUUAGAGAACUGGCACUCUAUUGUAAGGUAACAGAUACAGUGCUGCAUUUUAGAUGGAAAGUUAUUCUUCAAAUAGAAGUUGUUUUGCUAUGUACUUGGACUAUUAAUUAUGCUUUCAAUUCAGAAACGCACAAAGCACCAUUUGUGUGCAUCUUCAGCAAAGUUCAUGUGGAAACACUGAAUCAUCCAAAUCAUCUGAAUGAUGCAUACUAUUCAGGGGCUGUUUUCUUCAGCAGGCAGCUGGUGAUCUCUCUUCCUGUAUUCAUGGGGCAGUUUUGAGGGGGUGGUAAGAAAAGGAAGAGGGGAAGGAGUCCCAGGUGUCAGGGCAGCCCUCUUGGUUCACAUAUGCAAACUGUAAAGUCAUCUCUAGACUUGUGUAGGAGCUCUCAGAGAUGAAAUUGCAGGACUUGUCAGCUCUUGCUACACCUCUUCUGAAGAGCAUAUAUUUGAAAAGUCAAGGCAUAGAUCUGCCAGUUGCCACAUUUUCCUGUCAGCACAGCAAGUCCCCUCAACACGCAAAGGAAGAAAAUCUGACUCAUGUCAAACUCUUGAUGCAAGUUACACAAGAUGCAACUUUAUGCCUGUAUGAGAGGUAUAUUUCUCUUGUUUUUUUUUCCCCCCUUCUGUUUAAACUGAGUGUGUACAAUAAAUUUUCAGUCAUUGAGAUUAUGAUGCCAGUAAAGAAUCCUGGAAGUCUUUUUUCUGUGGUUCCCUC
ensembl:lncRNA